AUCCAACCGACGAUUUCCAAACAGGACUAAACGCGCGUCCUGCAU
rnacentral:hammerhead_ribozyme from 1 species